AACGCACCUUGCGCCCGUUGGUAUUCCGACGGGCAUGUCUGUCUGAGCGUCGUUUAACUCUCAAACCCUCCCUUCGGUCCUUGUGGCCUUGGGGUAGGUCUCUCUUAGGAGAGACUAGGUUUGGUUCAUGAGCGUUUAGUCGGCCUGGCCGGCUCGCUUGAAAUUGAUUGGCGAUCGAGUGACCUUUAACUAGUCAUUCAUCGGACCUUGGCUUGACAGUAAAAUUGAACAGCUAUGGGUAUCGGUGGGAGAUGAACUCUGGUUCGUUAUCGCUUUGACAAAAGAAAAAUUGGGGCAGCAAUGUCCUUUUUUUGAACCUUUGACCUCAGAUCAGGCAGGAUUACCCGCUGAACUUAA
rnacentral:misc_RNA from 4 species